AUAUCAGGCCAGCUGUGACCCUAGAGGAGUAGGCCAUAUCAGCCAGCCACAUCCCUGGAGCCGUGGGCUGUAUUGGUCCAGCUGUGACCCUAGAGCUUCUGAACCGAAUCUGAAAUUACGGUCCAGGCUAAAGCAGAAAGUGGCCGAAAGACGGAGCAGCCCCCUGUUACGCAGGAAAGACGGGCCAGUGGUCACUGCUCUAAAAAAGCGUCCGUUGGAUGUCACAGACUCCGCGUGCAGCAGCGCCCCAGGCUCCGGACCCAGCUCACCCAACAACAGCUCCGGGAGCGUCAGCGCGGAGAACGGUAUCGCGCCCGCCGUCCCCAGCAUCCCGGCGGAGACGAGUUUGGCGCACAGACUUGUGGCACGAGAAGGCUCGGCCGCUCCACUUCCCCUCUACACAUCGCCAUCCUUGCCCAACAUCACGCUGGGCCUGCCUGCCACCGGCCCCUCUGCGGGCACGGCGGGCCAGCAGGACGCCGAGAGACUCACCCUUCCCGCCCUCCAGCAGAGGCUCUCCCUUUUCCCCGGCACCCACCUCACUCCCUACCU
rnacentral:lncRNA from 1 species